rnacentral:rRNA from 1 species
UCGAGAAUUUUUCACAAUGGGGGAAACCCUGAUGGAGCGACGCCGCGUGGAGGACGAAGGUCUUCGGAUUGUAAACUCCUGUCAUGCGGGAACAAGAAAGUGAUAGUACCGCAAGAGGAAGAGACGGCUAACUCUGUGCCAGCAGCCGCGGUAAUACAGAGGUCUCAAGCGUUGUUCGGAUUCAUUGGGCGUAAAGGGUGCGCAGGCGGCGUGGAAAGUUGAGUGUGAAAUCCCGGGGCUCAACCUCGGAACUGCACUCAAUACUCCCAUGCUAGAGGAAUGUAGAGGAGAGUGGAAUUCACGGUGUAGCAGUGAAAUGCGUAGAUAUCGUGAGGAAGACCAGUUGCGAAGGCGACUCUCUGGGCAUUUCCUGACGCUCAUGCACGAAGGCCAGGGGAGC